GACGAACGCUGGCGGCGUGCUUAACACAUGCAAGUCGAACGGUGAUGCUCCAGCUUGCUGGAGUGGAUCAGUGGCGAACGGGUGAGUAACACGUGAGCAACCUGCCCCAGACUCUGGAAUAAGCGCUGGAAACGGCGUCUAAUACUGGAUACGAAACUGGCCCGCAUGGGCAUGGUUUGGAAAGUUUUUCGGUUUGGGAUGGGCUCGCGGCCUAUCAGCUUGUUGGUGAGGUAAUGGCUCACCAAGGCGACGACGGGUAGCCGGCCUGAGAGGGCGACCGGCCACACUGGGACUGAGACACGGCCCAGACUCCUACGGGAGGCAGCAGUGGGGAAUAUUGCACAAUGGGCGAAAGCCUGAUGCAGCGACGCCGCGUGAGGGAUGACGGCCUUCGGGUUGUAAACCUCUUUCAGCAGGGAAGAAGCGAAAGUGACGGUACCUGCAGAAGAAGCACCGGCUAACUACGCG
rnacentral:rRNA from 1 species